UACAGAGGGUGCAAGCGUUGUUCGGAAUUACUGGGCGUAAAGGGCUCGUAGGCGGCCAACUAAGUCAGACGUGAAAUCCCUCGGCUUAACCGGGGAACUGCAUCUGAUACUGGAUGGCUUGAGAUUGGGAGAGGGAUGCGGAAUUCCAGGUGUAGCGGUGAAAUGCGUAGAUAUCUGGAGGAACACCGGUGGCGAAGGCGGCAUCCUGGACCAACACUGACGCUGAGGAGCGAAAGCCAGGGGAGCAAACGGG
rnacentral:rRNA from 1 species